CAGCCAGGUUGUGUGACCCCGUUCAUGGCGAACACGUCGGCAGACCGAGCUGUAAAAUUACUCACCUGUGUGGAAGAACGUGUUUAUUUGUUUGCAUUACUCACAUCUGUUGUCUUACCUGUGCCCCAGGAUCCAGUCAUUCGACCCCUCUGUCCGCUCUGUCCUUCGCCAUCAUUGGUUGGAGCUGGACCCACCUCCUCGCCAUCUCCUCCUUCUUCAGACCCAACAAAGAGCAACCUGACACGUCUGCCUGCCACCUCUCCAUCUAAGAUUAUUCGCAGAAUGAGUUGGUGUGGAAACUCUCCUGCUUCCUGCUCAGAGGCUCGACACUGAGGACGGUCAUCUUCCGGCUGAAGACGGAGCUUCGCCAUCAGUCAGAUAAAUCCUGUGUUGGAUCAGCUGACUGGACUGUGUGGUUCUGUUCUGGUCAUCAGGUAAAAGAAGAGGUUUUAAUAUUUAGAGUGUGUGUCUCAGGAACAACCAGGUGGACCAAUGACAACCCCAUGUUCAUUAUGCCCCGUGCAUGACUUCAUACAUCGUUGGAUUAAUGGAGACUGGUGCAGUUUAACCCGCCGACCAUCAGAUCACCGAUUCCUUUGUUUUUUUCCAAACUGGAAACUGGACCGUUAACACACACUGGAAGCAGGACGUGAACGAUGGGAGCUUCCAGCAUUAAUAAAACAUCCACCUGAGAACUGAUCUGCACAUUUUGGUCCUGAUAACUGUUCUGCAGUCAGGUCCUAAAGGAAGGGAUACCCAGGCGGGAUUCUGUCAACAAAGACUUAAAAUAUGCAAAACAGUGGAGCCCAAUCUGCAUACAGUUAAGUCUGGGAGCCCCAUCUA